rnacentral:lncRNA from 1 species
CUGGAGGCUCAGGACCCAGGCUGCUGCACGUGCCCUGUGCUGGACACAGACUGGGGCACUGAGCGGGUGGGCAGAGGUGGGCUGCACCUGCCUUCUUGCUUGCAGAUCAGAGGGUGGCAUGACUCACAAGGCCUCCCCUGGCCACUCCACGCCCCGAGACCUCCCUCAGGUCAGGCGGCUCUCUUUGCCCCAGUCCCCACCCCACGCCCUUCUCUUCAGGGAAAAGUUCUAACGGCUUCCUCCGAAGGAAGCCACUCUGAAAUCCCAACCACCAGGGUUUUUUCCGGAACAUUCUAGAAGUCAGCAGUAACUCCUGACGGCAUCCAGGGGCAGGCGUUUAGAGAAGGAAAUUUCAUUUUGCUAAUUGCCACGCGGCCCGGCUACCCGAGGGCUGUGGUCUGGAUUGCGGGAGGGGGCAGUGUGGCUCACCACUCAGGGCCGACCCUGCCACCCGCGGCAGCUCGAGGAGCAG